UGGGGAAUAUUGGACAAUGGGCGCAAGCCUGAUCCAGCCAUGCCGCGUGAGUGACGAAGGUCUUCGGAUUGUAAAGCUCUUUUGGCGGGGACGAUAAUGACGGUACCCGCAGAAUAAGCCCCGGCUAACUUCGUGCCAGCAGCCGCGGUAAUACGAAGGGGGCUAGCGUUGUUCGGAAUUACUGGGCGUAAAGCGCACGUAGGCGGAUAGUUAAGUCAGGGGUGAAAUCCUGGGGCUCAACCCCAGAACUGCCUUUGAUACUGGCUGUCUCGAGGUCGAGAGAGGUUGGUGGAAUUCCUAGUGUAGAGGUGAAAUUCGUAGAUAUUAGGAAGAACACCAGUGGCGAAGGCGGCCAACUGGCUCGAUACUGACGCUGAGGUGCGAAAGCGUGGGGAGCAAACAGGAUUAGAUACCCCUGUAGUCCCUGAGCGGGCUGGCAAGGCGCAU
rnacentral:rRNA from 1 species